rnacentral:rRNA from 1 species
AAUAGAUACCCAGGUAGUCCACGCCGUAAACGAUGAAUGCCAGUCGUCGGGUAGCAUGCUAUUCGGUGACACACCUAACGCAUUAAGUAUUCCGCCUGGGGAGUACGGUCGCAAGAUUAAAACUCAAAGGAAUUGACGGGGGCCCGCACAAGCAGCGGAGCAUGUGGUUUAAUUCGAAGCAACGCGAAGAACCUUACCUAGACUUGACAUCUCCUGAAUUACUCUGUAAUGGAGGAAGCCCUUCGGGGCAGGAAGACAGGUGGUGCAUGGUUGUCGUCAGCUCGUGUCGUGAGAUGUUGGGUUAAGUCCCGCAACGAGCGCAACCCUUAUUGUUAGUUGCUUACCAUUUAGUUGAGCACUCUAGCGAGACUGCCCGGGUUAACCGGGAGGAAGGUGGGGAUGACGUCAAAUCAUCAUGCCCCUUAUGUCUAGGGCUACACACGUGCUACAAUGGCCGGUACAGUAAGAUGCAAUACCGUGAGGUGGAGCAAAACUCAAAAACCGGUCUCAGUUCGGAUUGUAGGCUGAAACUCG